UACGGGGGGGGCAAGCGUUGUUCGGAAUUACUGGGCGUAAAGGGCGCGUAGGCGGUUGGAUAAGUCAGCUGUGAAAACCACGGGCUUAACUCGUGGCCUGCAGUUGAGACUGUCUGGCUUGAGUGUGGGAGAGGAGAGUGGAAUUCUUGGUGUAGCGGUGAAAUGCGUAGAUAUCAGGAGGAACACCGGUGGCGAAGGCGGCUCUCUGGACCACAACUGACGCUGAGGCGCGAAAGCUAGGGGAGCAAACAGG
rnacentral:rRNA from 1 species